CCUACGGGAGGCAGCAGUGGGGAAUCUUGCGCAAUGGGCGAAAGCCUGACGCAGCCAUGCCGCGUGAAUGAUGAAGGUCUUAGGAUUGUAAAAUUCUUUCACCGGGGACGAUAAUGACGGUACCCGGAGAAGAAGCCCCGGCUAACUUCGUGCCAGCAGCCGCGGUAAUACGAAGGGGGCUAGCGUUGCUCGGAAUUACUGGGCGUAAAGGGAGCGUAGGCGGAUAGUUUAGUCAGAGGUGAAAGCCCAGGGCUCAACCUUGGAAUUGCCUUUGAUACUGGCUAUCUUGAGUACGGAAGAGGUAUGUGGAACUCCGAGUGUAGAGGUGAAAUUCGUAGAUAUUCGGAAGAACACCAGUGGCGAAGGCGACAUACUGGUCCGUUACUGACGCUGAGGCUCGAAAGCGUGGGGAGCAAACAGGAUUAGAUACCCUGGUAGUCCACGCUGUAAACGAUGAGUGCUAGUUGUCGGCAUGCAUGCAUGUCGGUGACGCAGCUACGCAUAAGUACACUCCGCCGUCGGGAGGUACGGUCGCGAGAUUAAACUACAAGAAGUAGAGCGNGAGACGUCGCGACGACGACGACGAGGGAGGAG
rnacentral:rRNA from 1 species